GUGUGUGUAUAUAAUGCAGUGUGUUUGUGUAGUGUGCAUUAUAUACACACACUACACAAACACACUGCAUUAUAUACACACAC